CCUACGGGCGGCUGCAGUGGGGAAUCUUGCGCAAUGGACGAAAGUCUGACGCAGCCAUGCCGCGUGAAUGAUGAAGGUCUUAGGAUUGUAAAGUUCUUUAGCCUGUGACGAUGAUGACGGUAACAGGAGAAUAAGCCCCGGCUAACUUCGUGCCAGCAGCCGCGGUAAUACGAAGGGGGCUAGCGUUGUUCGGAAUUACUGGGCGUAAAGCGCGCGUAGGCGGUUUUACAAGCCAGAGGUGAAAUGCCUGAGCUCAACUUAGGAAUUGCCUUUGGAACUGUAUGGCUUUGAGGACGAGAGAGGUGAGUGGAAUUCCCAGUGUAGAGGUGAAAUUCGUAGAUAUUGGGAAGAACACCGGUGGCGAAGGCGGCUCACUGGCUCGUUACUGACGCUGUAGCGCGAAAGCGUGGGGAUCAAACAGGAUUAGAUACCCGUGUAGUC
rnacentral:rRNA from 2 species